GUAUUUUAAAAUAAGUAGCAACACCCUCAACUUCAGCUUCAACGACAUCAAUAGACUCGUCAUCUGUUUCAUCAUUACGUUUAGAGUCACAGUUUCUUCCUCAGUCUCAGCUUCAAAAGUCUCUUCCUCUUCAAUCGAGUUAAGUUCUACUCUUAUAGUUAUUUCUCUCUAUAAAAAAAAUAUAUAAUGAGGAAUUGAAUUUAAAAAAAAUAGAAAAAUAAGUAAAUGAUGAACUUACUUUCGAUGCACAUAUUUUGUUUGAUGAGUAAGAGCGUGAAAAACAUCAUUAUCUUCUUCAUUUACAUUUCUUAUCUUUUUAAGAGAAAUCCAGUGCAAGGAUACAUCGGUAUUACUUAUAGGAGGAGUGUAAAAACAAGCUUUGAGAUUAGCUAAAUGCAUAAUAAAAGAUCUUUAUUCUUCAAGACACUCCCUUCAAUAAGCAAACUAGCCAAAAGUGUGGAUACCAACUCUAUCAAAAGCUGAGAUAGUAUAACUCCUAAGUUUAUCUAAAUGGAGUUGAAGUCUUACCAUGAGAAAUGUAGAAAUACAAGAAGAAAAACUGAUAGAUGAAGAAAAGUCAAGCGGAGCUGGUUGGUCAAACCCAAAUUGGCGUGCCACUCUAUAAUGAGAAUAUACCUCGAUAGAAAGAAAAUCUCUAUCUCCACCUAAAGUGGAACUCUUAAUCAUAGAAGGAAAUUGGGAACUGUGAACCCAUGAACAAAAGUUAAUACCUUGUGAAUUCAUUCUUCCAGAUUGUAGAAGGUGACAAUCAUAAUAAAUUUCAGGACCACCAAAUCCAUUUAUAGGUUGCACAUAAGGUUUGGGUUUGAUUUCUUUUGUCACAUCCAUCACUUUAAGAACAUUACCUUUCGAGAGUUGAUCAUGCCACGCCCAAGCUCUAUAAUUGUUCAUGGAUAAAGGGUUAUUUACAGAAAAAGAUGCAAAAAGAUAUGCAUUGGACACAGGAGUGCAAAUAACAAACCUUUCCCAUAGGUAUAUUUGAAUGAAAGAGGCAUCCACAUAAGUUAAAACUUUGUAACAUCUAGCUGACUCGACAGUUUUUAGUUGGUACAAGUCUAGUCUUUUAUAUAGAGAUCCUAAAUAUAGUAGAAUAAGAGAAAAACGUAUUCCCUUGAUAAUUUUUAUUGCUAAAGGAAUAACUGCUGGAGGAAUACCAUUAUCUAGACACCAUAGGAGUAUGUGUCGUGCCAACCAAAAGAUUGUUAAAGCCACUAGCUCGUGCUCAUGGUUUGGGUACUCAGGAAUACCAAUUUCAAUUCCCUUAACACUGAACUUUUUAUAAAAAAAACCCCGACCCAAUUGGAGAACCAUGCAACCUUUGAAGUUUUACUCAGACUCGUGAGUAGAUCAAAGAAAAAGUCUUGAAUACAUAUCUUUUCUUCAGAAAGCUUGAUAGAGUGAAAAUCAUGCUUCCCCAUGCAAGAAAGUUCUAAGAGAACACACACAUCUUCCAAAAUAAAGGUAAAUUCCUCCCUUGCUGUAAUCAUAGUAUGAGAAAAGGUGUUUCACCUUGCAAGAAUAACACACCAUACAUCCAUCUUUUUUUCUCUACGAAUAUUGAGCUUGGAGGUGACACGUAUAGCAUCAAGUAUUCCAAUAGAUUAGAGAAGUUUAACAUAAGUAGGAUUCUUCAACACCUUAUUUAUUCACUCAUUCUAGCCAUGAACAAAUUCAGAAUUAGAGCCUAACUUAGUUGCAAAAAGUGAAAACUCACUAUGCUCAAACUUGAACUUCAGAAUGGAUAGUCCUAGAAUACCACUUCUUUUAUAAGGAGGUGCUAUUUAGUAUAAUCUAUUCCAAUCAUAUCCAAUAGUCUCAGAAGGAUGUUCGUCAACUUGUUUGGCAUAGACUUCUUCCCAAAAACGAUAUUCUCUUCUUUCUUUAAUAAUUUCAUCUUCUUAGUUUUCAGGGAUAGGAGGAAAUUCACCACUCUUUCCUAUUAUAAUUUUCUUGGAAGAAUUACUUCAAAAUUAUUAUUCUUCAUUUUAUGUGCAGUGGUUUUUUUCCUUGUUGCAGCAUUUUCUGACUCAUCAUAAUGGAUCUUUAGAGAAAAACUAUCACAACCUAAUUUCCUGGGCCAUGACCGGUGCAUGAGCUCAAUGAGCAUAGCUCACUAAGCCCAAGCAAGCCUAUCCAUUUACCUUUGCUUAACAAAUUUAUCAUAUCAUGCAUACACACACACCUUUUCCCAGGUGUGAACAUAGCCAAAACACAAUGACAUUAUCGAUAAUAAUAUACAUGCACUAUACCAGUCAUGUAUUUAGCAAUUUACAUUGCAUACACAUAUUCACAUUGUUAGAUUGUAUUCACAAUACAAAAUGACCCAUGACUUCUAGCAGAGACAUUUACAAUAAAAGAGAUUACUAUCGAAUGCCAGACACAUACUUAGGAUAUGCACUACGGGGACUCCUUGAUCUAGGGUCCAAUAGUCACCUGAUCUGAAAACAUGAAUUUUUAUAAAAUGUGAGUACAAUACUUAGUAAGUGAACAAGAAGGGAACAAGCAUACUAUAAGGAAUGUUUAUCGAAAUCAUGAUGCAUUCAUUUUCUCAAAACCAUGCAAUUAUUUUAGCUCUUUUAAACCCCUUAUGUAAACCCCAUAUAACUAAAUCACUUUACAAAAAUCCAUGCUCAACUAUGGUACCAAAGAAAUGGGAAAUAUGGCAAAAACCCACAAGUUAGCAAAAUGGACAGAAAGGUUCUCGCUGUAGCGAAACAGAACAACAAGAGAAAAGUUUCCCUUCAUUCAACAAAAAGGCCAUCCUACUAAACCAACAAAAUCAACAUAAAACUCAUGAAAAUUCCUAAAGUGCAAUGUAUUAAAUUUCACAUAUAUGUCAACCAUAUAUCACAUUCAUGAACUUUCAUUUCAUAAGUCUAGAUAUGCAUAAUCUGAUAGACAAACAUCAAUAUCAUCAUAAUCACACCCGGCUCAUGUACAUCCCCCCACAUCGUGCACAUAGUCAGCACCAUCGUGUGCAUCUCCCCACAUCGUGCACAAUCAGUGCCACCGUGUACAUCCCUCCACAUCAUGCACACGAGCACUAUCAUCAUCUAUCUCUCACGCCACCAUCAUCACCGGCAUGUGCAUCCCCCCACAUCGUGCACACACACGGUUACAGUCAUUAUACACAAUAUCAUUCAUCAUGCACAACACACACAUAUAUAUAUCAUCAUAUUGCAAUAAUACAUGAAUCCAUAGCAAUCGCAUAUCACAACAUCAAACCAUUUAACAAAAGCUUGUUCCCAAGGUACAUUUUCUAAGACAAAUUGGAUAGAAUCUUUCAUAUUCCCCAAAACAAGUUUGAAAUGCAAGUCCACUCACCGAUAUCAAAAAUUCGGAUUCUAGGUGCACUCGGACUAAUAGUCCUCAAACGCAAUUCCUUUGCCUUUUUCGGACGUCUCACUACCUUGACAAAUAACAAAGUCAAAGAAUUUACUAUAUUGUCCCUAAAUUGAUAUAAACUAAUUUAAAUUACUAAUGCUUGAUAUGUAAAUGCAAAAAUACGUCCGAUUACCGCUUAAUCGCGGUAUCGAUUAAAUUCGACCGAUCACCCGAUUAAUUGGCGAUUGUGUCCAAAUCACCUCCAAAUUAAUUCAUUUCUCCUCUAAUACCUUAAUUUACCACAUACCAUUUAAAUAAAGCCAAAUUCAGCAUUAGAACCCUCACAGUUCCUUAUAGAAAAAUUUGGUCAUUUGGUGCACUAGCAUCGAAUUUUUUUCUACAUAACCGUUUCACCUUAAUUCAUCAUUUUCCAUGCCAUUUUCCUUGAAAUAAAAACAAUCCCCCAUUGAUAUUCAGCCCUCAUGGUUCGACCAACAAGGAACCCUAGAGAAAUUGAAUAUUUUUUUUGUGUUUUUGUUCAUAACCAUGCUUAACUAUCCCUAAACACUAACAUAAUCUAAAAUCAAAUUAUUCCAACAACAAUUCCUCUUCCAUACCCAUUUUUCAGAAUUGAAUUCAUCAUGAUAACUCAAUAUUCAACCAUGGAAAUCAAGAACAAAAGCAUGAGUAAGCUAGGUAUCAAGGAGAACUAAAGAAAUUCUAACUUACCUAACUUGUUUCCUUGAUUUCUUCACUUUUUCUUUGAAUUUUCACCUAGGUUUUUCUUUUUUUUUCCCUUUGUUCUUCCUUUUUUCUUG
rnacentral:lncRNA from 1 species